ACACGUACGCUCUUCCGAUCAAUUCAACGGAACCUUCCCCCACCGCGCCGGCGACUGCGGGUAGCUUGGAAAAUUAGAAACAUCAAGUCAGACGCAUUCACAUUAUUACCGACAAUAAGUUAGUCUUUUAUAAUCAUAUGUUCAAUCAUUGGUAAAAGUUUGUAUAUACGUUAUCUGAAAUUAAUUAAAGUUAAUUUAAGAAGAAA